CAGAGGAGGAGAGGCAGGCUGUUGGUGAGUCUGGAGUGCUGAAUCUUGUGCAGGUUAUAUUUGCAGAUAUUCCAGGGAGAGAGAAGUUUGCUGUCAGUGAUGGUGAUUACAAGGACACAGAUCAGCAUCUCUGCAAAGUGGCAGACCCGACUGAAAGGCAAAGAACUUACUUCCAGCAUGUUCAACCAGGUAUAUCCCUACGGCCUGUGAAAGGAAAUAGGAAUAGGAAAGAGGAAUAGGAAAAUGAUGGGGUGGGAGGGCAGCAGGCCAUGGCAGGAGGAAGGAAGCCGAGGGCCCUGGCACAGCCAACGUGUGCUGCCUCUUCCCCUUUGUGGCCGGGGGAGGAAGCCCUCUGCACAGAAAGGAUUUGGGCUUGAGAGUGAAACAAGGUGUGAGAGGAGAGCAGGAAGCAUCUGGAAAGUGGUGGGGUUGGGGAGAGCCCCUGAUCAGAGUAGUUUGAGGGAGAGGAGCAGGGGAGAACCCAAUUUCAAGAUAGGCAGUGCCUGACUGUCGCUAUAGGACACGUGAAAGCACGACAUGAGCCACUGCUGUUUGCAAGGUAAAGAAGGAAGUUUAUUCUCUGAAUACAACUUUUAUACUUUUCCAAAGGUGACAGUGGAUUGGAGAGUGAAUGGGCCACCUCUCCAAUG